UACGGGGGGGGCAAGCGUUGUUCGGAAUUACUGGGCGUAAAGGGCUCGUAGGCGGCCAACUAAGUCAGACGUGAAAUCCCCAGGCUUAACCUGGGAACUGCGUCUGAUACUGGAUGGCUUGAAUUCGGGAGAGGGAUGCAGAAUUCCAGGUGUAGCGGUGAAAUGCGUAGAUAUCUGGAGGAAUACCGGUGGCGAAGGCGGCAUCCUGGACCGACAUUGACGCUGAGGGGCGAAAGCUAGGGGAGCGAACGGG
rnacentral:rRNA from 1 species